GCCCACUUGGCGGAACCGGUAGACGCAAGGGACUUAAAAUCCCUCGGCAGUAAUGCCGUGCCGGUUCGAGUCCGGCAGUGGGCACCA
rnacentral:tRNA from 1 species